rnacentral:rRNA from 1 species
AUGACCUACGAUGACCGGUACAUACAGUAUUUUCGACAAGCAAGGUUGUUGCCCUUCAUCACAAUGCUACACAGAGGCAUGCCUGUAUUCAAUGAUAGUCUACUAUCAUGCAUGGUGGGCCGUUGGAGGCCCGAAACCCAUGCUUUCCACUUGCCACGCGGGGAGGUGACAAUCACACUGUAGGAUGUGAACCUCAUAACCGGACAACCGGUCAAUGGAAAACCGAUGACCAGAAUCACUAAACCAGCCAUGUGGAAGGCAUGGGUUGAGAGGAACCUUGGUGGAAGCAUGAUUACUUUCCACCAGGUUGGAAGAAGAAGUUGGCGAGGAAAAGUGUUACAGUACUCGGCGACCUAG